rnacentral:rRNA from 1 species
UUGAAGUCAGUCGUACCGGUGGGUAAUCAGCCUUUCGGCGUGAUUAUGUGGAGCGUGAGGAGUUAAACGCCUUCAUGCCUGCAUAUUCGUGUUCUUUGGGUGUACUUACCCGCAUGGUAGGUUAACAUCAAUUUCGAACGUCAUAAAAUGGUUGGAGGAAUGUAGCUUCGAUCUCGUAUUGAAGUGUUAUAGCCUUCGGCAGAUGUGAUGAUCGGGAUUGAGGAUUGCAACGGAUACCCUUCGGGGCUACCCGUCUGAUCUCUGAAAGUUACUCUGGUGCCGAAAGCUCGCUUACGGUCAUCAAAGUUGACGUUCAACAGGUUAGAACGGGAUAAAUUCGUUAAGGAUGUUGAC